rnacentral:rRNA from 1 species
CCUACGGGUGGCAGCAGUGAGGAAUAUUGGUCAAUGGGCGCGAGCCUGAACCAGCCAAGUAGCGUGAAGGAUGACUGCCCUACGGGUUGUAAACUUCUGUUAUAAAGGAAUAAAGUGAGGCACGUGUGCGGUUUUGUAUGUACUUUAUGAAUAAGGAUCGGCUAACUCCGUGCCAGCAGCCGCGGUAAUACGGAGGAUCCGAGCGUUAUCCGGAUUUAUGGGGUUUAAAGGGAGCGUAGAGGGGUUGUUAAGUCAGUUGUGAAAGUUUGCGGCUCAACCGUAAAAUUGCAAUUGAUACGGGCAGUCUUGUGUACAGUUGCGUUAGGCGGACUUCGUGGUGUAGCGGU